UUGGUUAACUGCCUACCUAGGAGGUGUCUUUCUUCCAGUUUCCCGGCCUUCCUUGGCAUGCCUGACUUCUGAUCAAGACCCCUGACCUACCAGUGACUUUCCAAAGUGGCUUCUACAACCUACCCACCUUCCUGAUGGUUCACUUACUGCUGCAGGGGAAGCUCUGCGCCCUGGAAACCCUAAUCCCCGCUCCCACCCCAGCACACAGUGCAGUGACUUUGCACACUUCUUGUCUGUCUGUCCUCUUGCACGCUCUAGAGGCUCUUGCCCACCAUCAUUUGAAGGUAUGUGUUGGAUGGGGUGGUAGGAUGAGGUAGGUGAAUUCUUGCCCUCUGGAUAGAAGAGAAUCACUUAUUGACCAAAGCUGGUUCUCAGAAGCUGGGGGGUUCAUCUUGGGGAUUAGCCUUGGAAUAGUCAGUCUUUCUUUUUACAGAAGCCAGAGGGAGACCUGGAGGGGAUGUGUACUUCAGUCCUAAUGGCGCUGGGGUCCCAGUCUCCAGGAAUGGUCAUUGUCAAGCUGUGGGACAGAUUGCAUCUGCACGACCUGCCCCCAAGGAGCCUCCUGGUCGCCGUGGGGAAACAGCCUCGGCCAGGGAAGACUUUUUCACAGGAAGACUGGGCUUGUGUUUUAGUCUGCUGUCUGUGCAGUGCCCUGGGAGUGGAGGCCUGGCAUGAGCUGUCUUUCUAACUGUUACACGCCCAUGAAGUUCAGGAAUGCCAGCCCUCUUGGCCACCAAGCCAGAUCCCAGAGGUUGUGGUGCCUGAUGUGGGGAACCAACCCCUCGCUCCUUCAGGAGAAGCACCUCUCUGGCAACAUGAUCAUCUGUGUAAAAUAUGAAAUACUUAGGAACAAAUCUGAAGAGAAGAUAGGAGACACAUGUACAUUGGUGACUACCAAUCAUUGCUGAGAUAAAUUAAAGAAGACCUAAAUAAAUGGAAAUACAUGUAGUAUUCAUGGAUCAGAAGAUUCAAUAUGGAUAAGAUAUCAGUUCUUCCCAAGUUGAUCUAUAGAUUCAAUGCAAUCCUAAUCAAAAUUCCAGCAGGAUUUUUUUAAAAUAUAGGAAUUAACAAGCUGAUUCUAGAAUUCAUAUGGAAAUGGAAAUGCAAAAGACCCAACAUACCCAAAACAGUUUAGAAAAAGAAGAAAGACAUGAAACCACAACAAUGAAGACAAUGUGAUAUUGGCAUCAAGAAAGACAAAUGGAUCAAUGGAACUGAAUAGAGAAUCCAGAGAUAGAUGUAGCUACACAUGUACUGUCAACUGAUUUUUGGCAAAGGUGAAAAGACAGUUCUUUGGAGAAAGGUUAGUCUCUUUCAACAAAUGGUGCUGGACCAUUUGGAUGUCUACACAUGAAAGGAUGCACUUCAAUCCAUACCUCACACCAUGUACAAAAAUUAACUCAAAAUGAAUCAUACUUAAAUGUAAACCCUAAAACUAUCAAAGUUCUACUAGUGGCAGGGCAGGAAUAAAGACGCAGACAUAGAGAACGGAC